UGGAUAUAGCGCAGAUUUAGAUAACUGUCUCCUCCCCUUCUGACCUUUAUUACGACUACAAAAAUUCUGUGUGUGAGGGAUAAAUAAUGCAUGCUCUCAGCCAAGAAGGGAAAGAAGACCCAAGGAAAAAUUGCAGAAUAGAAUGGCAAACCAGGAAAACAGAGCUCAGUACAGAAGGGAGUUGGGCAGCCUCUGUUCCUGUUUGGCUCUGUCCUUGAAGAAAGUGAUAAGAAGUGCACAGAUUUUGGAAUUAAACAGACCAUGGUUUGAAGUCUGGAUCUUCCAGUUGUAACCAGGUGGCAUUGGGGCCUAUGGUUCAUCCUGCAAUAUCAGAGAAUACACAACUGUUGGAAGCUCAUUUGUGCAGAAGCACUAGUUAGACCAAGUCCCAGGAUGGUGGGGACUUGAACUGCCUCAUGCACAUUGUACCCAAGAGCCUGGCCCAUGAAGGUGAAUCAGUGGAUACUUGAAUAAAAAGAAGAAUAUGCG
rnacentral:lncRNA from 1 species